UACGUAGGGGGCUAGCGUUGUCCGGAAUCAUUGGGCGUAAAGAGCGUGUAGGCGGUCCGGUAAGUCCGCUGUGAAAGUCGGGGGCUCAACCCUCGAAUGCCGGUGGAUACUGUCGGGCUAGAGUGCGGAAGAGGCGAGUGGAAUUCCUGGUGUAGCGGUGAAAUGCGCAGAUAUCAGGAGGAACACCGAUUGCGGAGGCAGCUCGCUGGAACGGUACUGACGCUGAGGCGCGAAAGCGUGGGGAGCGAACAGG
rnacentral:rRNA from 1 species